GAUGAACGCUGGCGGCGUGCCUAAUACAUGCAAGUCGAGCGAACGGACGAGAAGCUUGCUUUUCUGAUGUUAGCGGCGGACGGGUGAGUAACACGUGGAUAACCUACCUAUAAGACUGGGAUAACUUCGGGAAACCGGAGCUAAUACCGGAUAAUAUUUUGAACCGCAUGGUUCAAAAGUGAAAGACGGUCUUGCUGUCACUUAUAGACGGAUCCGCGCUGCAUUAGCUAGUUGGUAAGGUAACGGCUUACCAAGGCAACGAUGCAUAGCUGACCUGAGAGGGUGAUCGGCCACACUGGAACUGAGACACGGUCCAGACUCCUACGGGAGGCAGCAGUAGGGAAUCUUCCGCAAUGGGCGAAAGCCUGACGGAGCAACGCCGCGUGAGUGAUGAAGGUCUUCGGAUCGUAAAACUCUGUUAUUAGGGAAGAACAUAUGUGUAAGUAACUGUGCACAUCUUGACGGUACCUAAUCAGAAAGCCACGGCUAACUACGUG
rnacentral:rRNA from 1 species